GAUGAACGCUGGCGGCGUGCCUAAUACAUGCAAGUCGAGCGAACGGACGAGAAGCUUGCUUUUCUGAUGUUAGCGGCGGACGGGUGAGUAACACGUGGAUAACCUACCUAUAAGACUGGGAUAACUUCGGGAAACCGGAGCUAAUACCGGAUAAUAUUUUGAACCGCAUGGUUCAAAAGUGAAAGACGGUCUUGCUGUCACUUAUAGAUGGAUCCGCGCUGCAUUAGCUAGUUGGUAAGGUAACGGCUUACCAAGGCAACGAUGCAUAGCCGACCUGAGAGGGCGAUCGGCCACACUGGAACUGAGACACGGUCCAGACUCCUACGGGAGGCAGCAGUAGGGAAUCUUCCGCAAUGGGCGAAAGCCUGACGGAGCAACGCCGCGUGAGUGAUGAAGGUCUUCGGAUCGUAAAACUCUGUUAUUAGGGAAGAACAUAUGUGUAAGUAACUAUGCACAUCUUGACGGUACCUAAUCAGAAAGCCACGGCUAACUACGUG
rnacentral:rRNA from 1 species